CUAUGUUAUUGUUUAGUCGGUUUAAAUGUUAGAAUUUUCUUCUUUAAACUUUAAUGUUGUCGUCACUACAUCUGGAAAACCACGUAAGAACAAAUUAAAAGUAUUUUAAAAGAGACCAGGUUGUUUGAAAAUUCUAAACGAAUGCUAAAAAUCGUCAAAACAUUCUGGUGUCUGAGCCAGAGUGUCAUCGAAUUGCGAUGUAAUGUAAACAGAAAUUACAGCAAGUUGAUG